GACGAACCGUGCGAACGUUGUUCGGAAUCACUGGGCUUAAAGGGCGCGUAGGCGGGCUGCCAAGUCUGGGGUGAAAUCCCACGGCUCAACCGUGGAACUGCCUCGGAUACUGGCGGCCUCGAGGGAGGUAGGGGCGUGCGGAACUGUGGGUGGAGCGGUGAAAUGCGUUGAUAUCCACAGGAACUCCGGUGGCGAAGGCGGCACGCUGGACCUCUUCUGACGCUGAGGCGCGAAAGCCAGGGGAGCAAACGGGG
rnacentral:rRNA from 1 species